AUGCUUCACUGCACACUGGAAGGUGAAUCCGGAAGGCCCCGGCUGGAUGAAGAGGUCACUGUCCAGAUCAUCAUGCUACUCAAGCAGCAGAGCGUAAGGGCCAUACUACACUUGUCUCAAGCCAAAAAUGCAAGGCAGCUGGACAUGUUCAAGUUCUCUGAUCAGCUCCUCAGAUCUCUUAGCCACCGAUGUGUAUGUUCUCCUGCACGCGGAUUUACCGACUGCCCUCUGACAGGCAUAGGGACUUCGAACACAGCCGACCAUAAGAAUACACUUGCAUGCAAGAUUCGAGGCCAGAUACUUGAUUUGUCCAACUGCAAGCGAUCAGGUAACUCUCUCGACGUCCUUGGUGAAUCCUCUCACAAGUGCGAACACAGGAUUGAUCAAUCCUCGUCCCAACAUGAAGGCUACUCCAUCCUCAUCUACUCCCCUGCUGAACUUCUGCAAGUCGACGCUUAG
rnacentral:rRNA from 1 species